UACGAAGGGGGCUAGCGUUGUUCGGAUUUACUGGGCGUAAAGCGCACGUAGGCGGAUUGGUCAGUUAGGGAUGAAAUCCCAGAGCUCAACUCUGGAACUGCCUUUAAUACUGCCAGUCUAGAGUCCGGAAGAGGUGAGUGGAACUCCUAGUGUAGAGGUGGAAUUCGUAGAUAUUAGGAAGAACACCAGUGGCGAAGGCGGCUCACUGGUCCGGUACUGACGCUGAGGUGCGAAAGCGUGGGGAGCAAACAGG
rnacentral:rRNA from 1 species